CUGAAAUCUCGAAUUUUAAAGGGCCGCGGUACCCUGACCGUGCGAAGGUAGCAUAAUAAAUUGUCUCUUAAUUGGGGGCUGGAAUGAAAGGUUGGAUGAGGGACCAGUUGUCUUAGAAUUAAAACUAAAACUUUACUUUUAAGUGAGAAGGCUUAAAUGCUAUUAAGGGACGAUAAGACCCUAUAAAACUUUAUAUAAGACAGUUAUAUUUUGUUUAAUACGGUAAAAAUGAGGAUAACCUGUUUUAUAUUGGGCUGGGGCGGCAGUAAUAUAAAACUACCUGUUAUUUAUAAUAAGUUAAUAAUAAUUAAUAAGUGAUCCCUUUGAUGAAGGAUUAAAAGAACAAGUUACUUUAGGGAUAACAGCGUAAUUCUCUUUGAGAGAUCCAAUCGACAAGAGUAGUUGCGACCUCGAUGUUGAAUUAAAAUUUCUACCUAGUGCAGCAGUUAGGUAAGUAAGUCUGUUCGACUUUUAAAAUUUUACAUGAUUUGAGUUCAGACCGGUGUGAGCCA
rnacentral:rRNA from 1 species